rnacentral:tRNA from 1 species
GCGGGCGUAGCUCAGUUGGCAGAGCGUCAGCCUUCCAAGCUGAAGGUCGCCGGUUCGAGGCCGGUCGCCCGCU